GACCCAAGUCCGAAUUGUCACCUGCGUUGGUGUGCGUUCCGCAAAGACGGAUAGGACUUGGGUUUUUU
rnacentral:sRNA from 12 species